rnacentral:rRNA from 1 species
UUAAGCGACUAAGCGUACACGGUGGAUGCCCUGGCAGUCAGAGGCGAUGAAGGACGUGCUAAUCUGCGAUAAGCGUCGGUAAGGUGAUAUGAACCGUUAUAACCGGCGAUUUCCGAAUGGGGAAACCCAGUGUGUUUCGACACACUAUCAUUAACUGAAUCCAUAGGUUAAUGAGGCGAACCGGGGGAACUGAAACAUCUAAGUACCCCGAGGAAAAGAAAUCAACCGAGAUUCCCCCAGUAGCGGCGAGCGAACGGGGAGCAGCCCAGAGCCUGAAUCAGUGUGUGUGUUAGUGGAAGCGUCUGGAAAGGCGCGCGAUACAGGGUGACAGCCCCGUACACAAAAAUGCACAUGCUGUGAGCUCGAUGAGUAGGGCGGGACACGUGGUAUCCUGUCUGAAUAUGGGGGGACCAUCCUCCAAGGCUAAAUACUCCUGACUGACCGAUAGUGAACCAGUACCGUGAGGGAAAGGCGAAAAGAACCCCGGCGAGGGGAGUGAAAAAGAACCUGAAACCGUGUACGUACAAGCAGUGGGAGCACGCUUCGGCGUGUGACUGCGUACCUUUUGUAUAAUGGGUCAGCGACUUAUAUUCUGUAGCAAGGUUAACCGAAUAGGGGAGCCGAAGGGAAACCGAGUCUUAACUGGGCGUUAAGUUGCAGGGUAUAGACCCGAAACCCGGUGAUCUAGCCAUGGGCAGGUUGAAGGUUGGGUAACACUAACUGGAGGACCGAACCGACUAAUGUUGAAAAAUUAGCGGAUGACUUGUGGCUGGGGGUGAAAGGCCAAUCAAACCGGGAGAUAGCUGGUUCUCCCCGAAAGCUAUUUAGGUAGCGCCUCGUGAAUUCAUCUCCGGGGGUAGAGCACUGUUUCGGCAAGGGGGUCAUCCCGACUUACCAACCCGAUGCAAACUGCGAAUACCGGAGAAUGUUAUCACGGGAGACACACGGCGGGUGCUAACGUCCGUCGUGAAGAGGGAAACAACCCAGACCGCCAGCUAAGGUCCCAAAGUCAUGGUUAAGUGGGAAACGAUGUGGGAAGGCCCAGACAGCCAGGAUGUUGGCUUAGAAGCAGCCAUCAUUUAAAGAAAGCGUAAUAGCUCACUGGUCGAGUCGGCCUGCGCGGAAGAUGUAACGGGGCUAAACCAUGCACCGAAGCUGCGGCAGCGACGCUUAUGCGUUGUUGGGUAGGGGAGCGUUCUGUAAGCCUGCGAAGGUGUGCUGUGAGGCAUGCUGGAGGUAUCAGAAGUGCGAAUGCUGACAUAAGUAACGAUAAAGCGGGUGAAAAGCCCGCUCGCCGGAAGACCAAGGGUUCCUGUCCAACGUUAAUCGGGGCAGGGUGAGUCGACCCCUAAGGCGAGGCCGAAAGGCGUAGUCGAUGGGAAACAGGUUAAUAUUCCUGUACUUGGUGUUACUGCGAAGGGGGGACGGAGAAGGCUAUGUUGGCCGGGCGACGGUUGUCCCGGUUUAAGCGUGUAGGCUGGUUUUCCAGGCAAAUCCGGAAAAUCAAGGCUGAGGCGUGAUGACGAGGCACUACGGUGCUGAAGCAACAAAUGCCCUGCUUCCAGGAAAAGCCUCUAAGCAUCAGGUAACAUCAAAUCGUACCCCAAACCGACACAGGUGGUCAGGUAGAGAAUACCAAGGCGCUUGAGAGAACUCGGGUGAAGGAACUAGGCAAAAUGGUGCCGUAACUUCGGGAGAAGGCACGCUGAUAUGUAGGUGAAGUCCCUCGCGGAUGGAGCUGAAAUCAGUCGAAGAUACCAGCUGGCUGCAACUGUUUAUUAAAAACACAGCACUGUGCAAACACGAAAGUGGACGUAUACGGUGUGACGCCUGCCCGGUGCCGGAAGGUUAAUUGAUGGGGUUAGCCGCAAGGCGAAGCUCUUGAUCGAAGCCCCGGUAAACGGCGGCCGUAACUAUAACGGUCCUAAGGUAGCGAAAUUCCUUGUCGGGUAAGUUCCGACCUGCACGAAUGGCGUAAUGAUGGCCAGGCUGUCUCCACCCGAGACUCAGUGAAAUUGAACUCGCUGUGAAGAUGCAGUGUACCCGCGGCAAGACGGAAAGACCCCGUGAACCUUUACUAUAGCUUGACACUGAACAUUGAGCCUUGAUGUGUAGGAUAGGUGGGAGGCUUUGAAGUGUGGACGCCAGUCUGCAUGGAGCCGACCUUGAAAUACCACCCUUUAAUGUUUGAUGUUCUAACGUUGACCCGUAAUCCGGGUUGCGGACAGUGUCUGGUGGGUAGUUUGACUGGGGCGGUCUCCUCCUAAAGAGUAACGGAGGAGCACGAAGGUUGGCUAAUCCUGGUCGGACAUCAGGAGGUUAGUGCAAUGGCAUAAGCCAGCUUGACUGCGAGCGUGACGGCGCGAGCAGGUGCGAAAGCAGGUCAUAGUGAUCCGGUGGUUCUGAAUGGAAGGGCCAUCGCUCAACGGAUAAAAGGUACUCCGGGGAUAACAGGCUGAUACCGCCCAAGAGUUCAUAUCGACGGCGGUGUUUGGCACCUCGAUGUCGGCUCAUCACAUCCUGGGGCUGAAGUAGGUCCCAAGGGUAUGGCUGUUCGCCAUUUAAAGUGGUACGCGAGCUGGGUUUAGAACGUCGUGAGACAGUUCGGUCCCUAUCUGCCGUGGGCGCUGGAGAACUGAGGGGGGCUGCUCCUAGUACGAGAGGACCGGAGUGGACGCAUCACUGGUGUUCGGGUUGUCAUGCCAAUGGCACUGCCCGGUAGCUAAAUGCGGAAGAGAUAAGUGCUGAAAGCAUCUAAGCACGAAACUUGCCCCGAGAUGAGUUCUCCCUGACCCUUUAAGGGUCCUGAAGGAACGUUGAAGACGACGACGUUGAUAGGCCGGGUGUGUAAGCGCAGCGAUGCGUUGAGCUAACCGGUACUAAUGAACCGUGAGGCUUAACCUU